rnacentral:lncRNA from 1 species
GUGGCACUUGAUCCAAAGAGAGCCUCUGAAAUGGCUGCACCCGAUAUCUCAGCAGGUUACCCCAUAGAGUGUUGAGUGGGCAACUCAAUUAUUCCCUCACCUGAAGAAGUCUGAAAGCAAGACGAAGAGAGUCCUUUUGCAAGAGUGAUGUACAAAGCCCUACGGACAUACAGACUUCGUGUGCAAGUCCUGUGGAGGAGAGGAGAUGAGAGAGCAAUCGGUUGGUGGCAUCUGGGGACAUUAAACAGUGACGUGGACACAGUGAUGGCCUGCAGUGGUGAACCAGUGAGGGAACAAGUCCUAUGGUUGGGGAGCUACCUGAGGCUGGAGAGCAGAGUACAGCCAGGCCCACAGUGGUGCAGCAUACCAGAGUCAAGGUCUCACUAGGAUGUCCAGGCUGGCCUCGAACUCCUGGGCUCAAGCAAUCCACCUGCCUUGGCCUCUGAAAGUGCAGGAAUUACAGCCUUAUCCAAAAUCUCUGGAGGUAACACCAGUGGAAGCAACCUUAGAAGAGGAAUGAGUUGGCAGGAGGCAAGAGGCAGGAAAGCACUGAGUAAGAGCUGGCAGUGUCAGUGUCAGCAUCAGAUCAAUUAUAGAGAAUGUUUCAUCAUGAGAUGUGAGCAUCAUGUUCCAGGCCCUGAGUGCUUCAUAAAAAAAAAAGUUCCUUUUCCACCAAAACAAUGCCCUGAUUUGAGUGCUUCAUCAAAAGAGAAAGAUUUCUCAUGAUAAACCAUAUUCUAAGCACUUAGAUCACAAUAUAGUAAAUUUUCAAAAGGAAGUCACUUUUGCCAAGAUAUAAAGGCUCAUGUACGUAAAUUCUAUGCUUCCAAUAUAAGUACAUUUCAA